UACGAAGGGGGCUAGCGUUGUUCGGAAUUACUGGGCGUAAAGCGUAUGCAGGCGGAUCGUUAAGUCGGGGGUGAAAUCCCGAGGCUCAACCUCGGAACUGCCUUCGAUACUGGCGACCUUCGAGUCCGGGAGAGGUGAGUGGAACUCCGAGUGUAGAGGUGAAAUUCGUAGAUAUUCGGAAGAACACCAGUGGCGAAGGCGGCCCGCUGGACAUGUAUUGACGCUGAGGUGCGAAAGCGUGGGGAGCAAACAGG
rnacentral:rRNA from 1 species